CCUCUGUCGCUGAUGUUUCUUAAGAGUGAGC
rnacentral:piRNA from 1 species